rnacentral:rRNA from 1 species
ACGCUCGACACCUACGGGGGCAGCAGUGGGGAAUAUUGCACAAUGGGGGAAACCCUGAUGUAGCGACGCCGCGUGGAGGAAGAAGGUCUUCGGAUUGUAAACUCCUGUUGUUGGGGAAAAAGAGGAUGGUACCCAACAAGGAAGUGACGGCUAACUACGUGCCAGCAGCCGCGGUAAUCUGGAGCGGGGCUAGGCAAGGC